AAAGUUUCAGUGCAUUCCGUUGAUGUGGACGGCGUGAAAACGGAAACAACAAGUAUGCUGGCUCACUGUGCUGCAUACAGUUACAUACUGCGUCGUACGAUUGAGACAAGGAAACUUGGAAUGACUUUUCAUAGGUUUCCCAGAGACUAUGGGUUGAGGAGGAAUUGGAAGUUUGUCGGCUUAGACCUGGUGUCAUUCCAUCAGUGUUAAACUUCCCGGCUCAUCUUGGAAGAGUACGUGCCAGAAAGACCACGACCAAGCAGCCUUGAGAUCUUAGGCAGCGUCUCCCUGAGGUCCCUCUCUAUCUCCCCACACAUCCACCAGCCACUGGAACACAUCUCCAAAGUUCUGCCGGGCCAGCUCAGCUUCCCCUCAGAAGAAGUUCCGCCAGAUGAAGGAGCCUUUUGAGAGGCAGCUGGCAUCGUGACUGGACUGUACUUUGGUCUGUUCCAAUCCAGCUUCAGCUCCAGAGACGGCAGGCGGGACGAGUCAACGGAGGCCUGGUGGAUGAAGGCAUGCAGCUGAGUACAAUCCAGAAAACAACAGAGGAGGAGUGCAGCAGCCCAGAGCCAGAACAAGCAGAGUAGCAUCGUAUGUCUCUUAGAAAACAACAUAGUAUAGCCUUUGGGAUGAAAAAACACCAUCAUAUACAUCGUAUAUUGUACAAAUAACAAGUCAAAGCAAAGAGACAUACAUUGUAGAAUUGUAGUAAUUGUGGGCUGACUGAUUUACUGAUUAUCAGUAUUUUAUUUUUUACUGAUUUACGGUAAUAAAUCAAUUUAAAAAUGGCGCUACUUUGGCUCUGAACCUUAAUCUACCUGUGGUGGCUCUGUCUUCUGGAGUGAUUUGAUUGGUUAUACGUCACGAAUAAAACUCCUUUAACUUAACAUCUGUAAACAAAACAAAAACGUAUCAACAAAGUUUUCUGUUAGAGUUUGUGUUCUUCAAAGUUUAACUCCAAGAUUUCAAAUACUUUCAUUUACUGCAAAUGAAUAUCGACUCCAAAUGUCUCACUAAUAAUCAUUAUCAGCCUUAAAAACCCACAAAACACCCCUCUAUACUUGACCACACUUAGUACAGUCCGGUUCCCACUUCUAUAAAUCUGCUUGGAAUCGUCCACUUCCUGUUUGUCAAAGUAUCCUUCUACCUGGACAGGUUUUGUUGGAGCUCAUGCAACAAACAUUUUGGGUAACUGCACUUUAAUAUGGAUGGAUGACACUGAAUUAGAGUCUGUUUUCAUGAGACUGAGUUAAGAUGUGUAGCUCUGUCAUUAAAUAGUAAAUUAUUUCUCUGAAUUCACAGAGAAAAGUUUGAAAUGUUUGCUAGGUUAGCAUCCCACAUGUUCUUUGGCUCAGCUAAAGCUAACUCUCUCCAACUUCUGGAUCUCUUGAUUUGCUUGUU